rnacentral:misc_RNA from 2 species
AACGCACAUUGCGCCCUCUGGUAUUCCGGAGGGCAUGCCUGUUUGAGUGUCAUUAAUCUCUCACAAAACCUUUUGGUUUCUGUCGAUGUUGGGAGUUGCGAUCUGCUUUUCGAAGUUUGGAACGCUCUCCUCAAAUGUAUUGGUGCGGCCUGCCGCCCGGUUACACAACGUUCUAGGUUCGUCCAACUCGUUGUCUAUGCCGGUGCAACUUUGGUGCUGCACCUAAAGCCCGCCUUGUGCCUUGUGCUCUUGGCUUAACUUCAUUUAUUGACCUCAGAUCAGGUAGGAAUACGCGCUGAACUUAA